CUCCGCUUAGAUCUUGUAGAAGAUGGUUGGAUCUAAGCAGAACCUUCCAUCUACAGCCUCUCAAGUUGCCAACCCAUAAAAACCAGCUGUGCUCCUGGCUCAGUAACCCUUCAGUCCUUGCCUUUCUCUGACUUCUCUUCCUUGUCAGCAGGUUAGUUUGUAGCCUGAACUGCAUGAUGGAGAUUGAGCUGGAUCUAUUUUAAUUGCCAUGAAGACAUCAUGGGCAGGAAGCAUGCAUGCUGGAAUAGAUUAGCAAACAUUGACUCCUCACGAAAGCCACAGCCUUCCAACUGCAACUCAGUGGUCAGAGGAGGAUGAGCAAAAGUGGAGGACAGAGAAUGACCCGACGUGGAGCUGAGCGGCCCUCUUCUGCGUGGCGAUUUGGAGAACACAGUCAGCAUGCACACACAUCAUUCUUCAGGUGCAGUUAUGACAGAAGGAUGGUCCUGUCUCAUCCCUACACCUGUGAGGCCUCAGUUCUGCCUCUCUCCCCUGUUGUGGCCUUGGAAGGAAAAGCCUCCAGCUCUGAGUCUGCUGCCAGGUGGAGGUUCUUCCAUUUGAUAAGGUGAGGAGCGUGAAUGGAUGGAGCUGAGCUUCUGAGACUCGGAGACCAGUGAACCUGCUUGCCACCCUGGGCAAGAGAGCCCAGGGGCUGGCCCAGGAGAGGCGGCAAGGCUGUGUGCAGACACUUUGCCCCUGGUUGACUCCUGACGGCGCUUACUCCACCACUGCAUCCCUUCUAUACCCUGCUUCUCCCUUCAGACAAGGGGCAGACUCCUAAGAAGGCAGCUUUGUGUUGGACAAAACACAGUGGGGACAGGAACCUAAAGCAGUUGUGAAAGAGCCGGAGGACCCCUGUCCCCAAACCCUGCCCAUCGGGAAGAGGCCACAGAGCUAUGUGUCGGCCCCACGCUUGGGCAGACCACUGCAGGCACGUGUGUACUCCGCUGGGCUCCAGGGGCCUGAUUUUUUAACUUAUCCCUGAGAUUGAGUUAUAAAAUUUAGAUCCUCCAUAAGUAGACUCACAUGGAGUCCCAGCUGAUUUCUGAUAAGGGUGGAAAAGGAAUUCAGUGGAGGACAGGUCACCUUUUUAGAACAUGGUGUGGGAGUUCUCAGAUGUGAUGCUGAGUACAAUUCAUAAAAGAGAAAAUGCAGACAUCAGACCUCAUCAGAAUUAAAAGCUGUUCUGUUCUGCAGAAGACUCUGUUAAGAGGGUAUGAGAAGCUCAAGAUUAAGAUAAAGUAUUUGCAAACCACAUGUCUGGCAAAGGACUUAUGUCUAAAAAAAUAUAAAGAACUCUCAAAACUUAGUAACAAAGUCGGCAAUACCAUUAGAAACGGGCAAAAGACAAGAAAAGAUGUUUCACUGAAGAUGAUAUACAGUUGGCAAAUAGGCAUAUGAAAAGAUGUUCAAUGUCAUUAGCCAUUAAGGAGAUGCAAAUUAAAACUACAGUGAGAUGUUACCAUAUACCUGGCAGAAUGGCUUGAUUGAAAAGUGGUGACCACACCAAAUGCUGGUGAAGAUGUAGGGAAACUGGAUCAUUCAUACGUUGCUGGUGGGAAAGUAAAAUGUUACAGCCACUCUGGAAAACAGUUUGGCAGUUUCUUAUAAAACUAAACAUGCAACUACCACAUGACCCAGAGGUCACAUUUUUGGGCAUUAAUCCUGGAGGAAUGGAAAUUUAUGUUUGCAUAAAAAACUGUACAUGGAUGUUUAUAGCAGCUUUAUUUAUAAUAGCUCCACACUGGAAUUAGUCCAGACCAGGUGUUCAUCAGUGGUGAAUGGUUAAACACACCAUGGUCAUACACACUGCUCAACAAUAAGAGGAAAUGAACUAUCUGUAUACACAACUUAGAUAAAUCUCCUGGGAAUCAUGCUGAAUGAAAAAAGCCAGUCCCAUUUUUUUUUUUUUUUUGAGACAGAGUCUCAUUCUGUCACCCAGGCUGGAGUGCAGUGAUGCAAUCUUGAUCUCGGCUCACUGCAACCUCUGCCUCCCAGGUUCAAGUGAUUCUUGUGCCUCAGCCUCCAGAGUAGCUAGGAUUACAGGCAUGCACCACCACACCCGACUAAUUUUUUUGUAUUUUUAGUAGAUAUGAGGUUUCACCAUAUUGGCCAGGCUGGUCUCGAAC
rnacentral:lncRNA from 10 species